rnacentral:rRNA from 1 species
GAUGAGCGCUGGCGGCGUGCCUAAUACAUGCAAGUCGAGCGAGCAGAUGAGGAGCUUGCUCCUCUGACGUUAGCGGCGGACGGGUGAGUAACACGUGGAUAACCUACCUAUAAGACUGGGAUAACUUCGGGAAACCGGAGCUAAUACCGGAUAAUAUAUUGAACCGCAUGGUUCAAUAGUGAAAGACGGUUUUGCUGUCACUUAUAGAUGGAUCCGCGCCGCAUUAGCUAGUUGGUAAGGUAACGGCUUACCAAGGCAACGAUGCGUAGCCGACCUGAGAGGGUGAUCGGCCACACUGGAACUGAGACACGGUCCAGACUCCUACGGGAGGCAGCAGUAGGGAAUCUUCCGCAAUGGGCGAAAGCCUGACGGAGCAACGCCGCGUGAGUGAUGAAGGUCUUCGGAUCGUAAAACUCUGUUAUUAGGGAAGAACAAAUGUGUAAGUAACUAUGCACGUCUUGACGGUACCUAAUCAGAAAGCCACGGCUAACUACGUG